GUGUGGAACUGCACGCAAAUGGCCAGAAGGAGUGGCCGGCAUAUCAAGGGAGUCCCCCUGCCCAUUUAUGAUGGACUAUUGCAGCCGAUGCCGUGUGACCUCAUGCUCCAACUGCCGUGCCUUCCCCAUGGUGAACUGUACCAUCAAAUGGUGAGCCACAAUGAGCCUCUUUAAGCUGCUUCUGUCAAGUAUUUAUCACAGCAACAAGGAAAGCAGGAAAGUAAUGCACUAAGAGGGAAUUCUCUCUGUCUCUCAGAUGAUACAGCAAAGGCGUACGGGGGUCAGACAAUUUGUCUUCUGCCACUUGGAGCUGGAUCAGGGCCAAGUCUAAUUCUGAGCUGCAGAGUGUGGUAUCGUCAUACUCUCUGCCCCAGCCUCAAUUCACCUUGCCUAAGAGGAGCACCAGGACUCACCAGAUCUGUGAAACCUUCCCAAUGAGUCUCUUACAUAAAUUAAAGCUAAUCAAACA